rnacentral:rRNA from 1 species
CAGUCGCCGCGGUAAUACGUAGGGUGCGAGCAUUAAUCGGAAUUACUGGGCGUAGAGCGUGCGCAGGCGGUUGUGUAAGACAGGUGUGAAAUCCCCGGGCUUAACCUGGGAACUGCUCUUGUGACUGCACAGCUAGAGUAUGGCAGAGGGGGGUGGAAUUCCACGUGUAGCAGUGAAAUGCGUAAAGAUGUGGAGGAACACCGAUGGCGAAGGCAGCCCCCUGGGCCAAUACUGACGCUCAUGCACGAAAGCGUGGGGAGCAAACAGGAUUAGAUACCCGCGUAGUCCCUGUCUCUUAUAC